rnacentral:tRNA from 1 species
UAGCGGUGUUAGGGCACGAAGAAUUUUGAUUUCUUAAGAGAGGUUCAUGUCCUCCUAG